rnacentral:rRNA from 1 species
AUGCCAGUGAGGAUUUUGCCGUCAGCACGCCCGAGCCGUGUUCCGUGGUUCCUCGCGACACUCUUGUUGGUGGCGGCGGUUGGCUCGCUGCUGCUGGAAGGGGGCGCGCCGGGAUCCUCGGAAAUAAGCUCGAUGUUUCCCCUAGUAUGCAAGAAUCCCCUUCGCUUGCUUUCGCCGACGGCAGUCACCAUGGUGGCGGUCAAUUUGAUAGGGACUGGUAUGAAGACGGUUCUUGCGACCGGUUCCCAGAGCAAAUCAUCGAUGGUGCUUGAGCAUGGGCGCUCUAGGCGGUCAGCCGGCUUGCAGCGCGGCCGUGCCACCGAAUCCUCUGGCUGA